UUGCUUUGGGAAUGUACAAGUCCAUGAAAGCAACCUACCUCCAUCCUUUUACUUUGUCAGCUGUUUUUGUUUUUGUGACUUGCUGAUUAUUGUUGGAUGGAAUAGGU